CCUGCUUUGUUUUGAGAUGGAGAAUACGAAUUACAUUAAUGAUCAAGUGUUCAUAAGUUUCCGGGGAAAAGAUGAGCGGUACGGAUUCUUAACCUAUCUCAAACAGAGGUUACUAGAAAGCAAUGUGAAUGUGUUCAUCGACGAGAACGCGGCUGGAGAACCACUUGAGAAUAUCUUUGGACGCAUCCGAAAGUCAAGGAUCGCGAUUGUGAUCUUCUCCAAGAACUACGCGGAGUCGAGUUGGUGUUUGGACGAGCUGGUGGAGAUCAAGAAAUGCAUGGAGACGGAGAAGCUCAAUGCUGUCAAACCCAUCUUUCGUAAGGUGAAGGUUUCAAGCGUUAGGAAACAGAGCGGAAAGUUUGGGGAAAGGUUUCUUGCUUUGCAAAACUCUUUGCUUGCUGAAGAAGUCGAUAAGAAGAAGAUGAAGCGUAUUAAUUCCAGGAUCAAGAGAUGGAAGAAAGCUUUGGAGUUCGUCACUGGAAUGAUUGGACUGACUUGCGACAAAAAAAAUUUUCCAGGUCGGAGUUUGAGUUUGUGGGAAAAGUUGUCGAAAAGGUUCAUAAAACGUUAGGUAAAACUGCAGCAGAGGCAGGUCGUAAUAGUACUCCUGAAACUAGUAAGAAAUCACAGGAAAAACUAUCAUAUCUGUUUGUUUUCAAUAUCAAUCACUCAAACGUGAACGGACUAAUCCAUUCUUCAAGGACACUGGAAGCUCUGACCCUGAACCUGGACAGAUUGAAUCCUGAACGCUACAACAGGAGUGUUGAUUUGAACCCUUCCUCUGGACAUUACAGACGCACUGCCUCAUACCGUGACGAGAGAGAUAGAUUUGACCAUUUGCCUUUUGAAGAGAUCAUGGAUCAAAAGCGGGCGGAUAAUCAACGGAGCAUUGACAAUAUCGUCGAGCGAAAAUAUAGGCAUGGUACGACUUUCCUCUCGCCCCUGCGUUACUAUUUCGAGCUUUGUUUGUGUCUUCCAAGCGAAGCAAGAGAUUACUUCCGA